rnacentral:rRNA from 1 species
UGGGGAAUAUUGCACAAUGGGGGAAACCCUGAUGCAGCGACGCCGCGUGAACGAAGAAGGUAUUCGUAUCGUAAAGUUCUGUCCUAUGGGAAGAUAAUGACAGUACCAUAGAAGAAAGCUCCGGCUAAAUACGUGCCAGCAGCCGCGGUAAUACGUAUGGAGCGAGCGUUGUCCGGAAUUAUUGGGCGUAAAGGGUACGCAGGCGGUUUAAUAAGUCGAAUGUUAAAGAUCGGGGCUCAACCCCGCAAAGCAUUGGAAACUGAUAAACUAGAGUAGUGGAGAGGAAAGUGGAAUUCCUAUUGUAGUGGUGAAAUACGUAGAUAUUAGGAGGAAGACCAGUAGCGAAGGCGACGUUCUGGACACAAACUGACGCUGAGGUACGAAAGCGUGGGGAGCAAACAGG